rnacentral:rRNA from 1 species
AGGCUAUUGCUAUCGGGGUCCGAUUCAGCCAUGCUAGUUGUACGGGUUCAGACCCGUAGCAAAUAGCUCCGUAACACGUGGUCAAACUACCCUCUGGACCGGGAUAUCCUCGGGAAACUGAGGUCAAUCCCAGAUACUGCUUUCAUGUUGGAAUACAGAAAGUCGGAAACGGUCCGCCGCCGGAGGACGUGACUGCGGCCGAUUAGGUAGACGGUGGGGUAACGGCCCACCGUGCCGAUAAUCGGUACGGGUUGUGAGAGCAAGAACCCGGAGACGGUAUCUGAGACAAGAUACCGGGCCCUACGGGGCGCAGCAGGCGCGAAACCUUUACACUGCACGCCAGUGCGAUAAGGGGACCCCGAGUGCGAGGGCAUACAGUCCUCGCUUUUCGUGACCGUAAGAAGGUCUCAGAAUAAGAGCUGGGCAAGACCGGUGCCAGCCGCCGCGGUAAUACCGGCAGCUCGAGUGAUAGCCACUAUUAUUGGGCCUAAAGCGUCCGUAGCCGGCCGAACAGGUCCGUCGGGAAAUCCACCCGCUCAACGGGUGGGACGUCCGGCGGAAACCAGUCGGCUUGGGGCCGGGAGACCAGAGAGGUACGUCCGGGGUAGGAGUGAAAUCCUGUAAUCCUGGACGGACCACCGGUAGCGAAAGCGUCUCUGGAGAACGGACCCGACGGUGAGGGACGAAAGCUUGGGUCUCGAACCGGAUUAGAUACCCGGGUAGUCCAAGCUGUAAACGAUGCUCGCUAGG